ACUCAAAGGAAUAGACGGGGACCCGCACAAGCAGUGGAGUAUGUGGUUUAAUUCGAAGCAACGCGAAGAACCUUACCAGGGCUUGACAUCCCACUAACGAAGUAGAAAUACAUUAGGUGCCCUUCGGGGAAAGUGGUGACAGGUGGUGCAUGGUUGUCGUCAGCUCGUGUCGUGAGAUGUUGGGUUAAGUCCCGCAACGAGCGCAACCCUUACGGUUAGUUGCUACGCAAGAGCACUCUAGCCGGACUGCCGUUGACAAAACGGAGGAAGGUGGGGACGACGUCAAAUCAUCAUGCCCCUUACGUUCUGGGCUACACACGUACUACAAUGGCCGUUAACAAUGGGAAGCAAUAUCGCGAGAUGGAGCAAAUCCCCAAAAGCGGCCCCAGUUCAGAUUGCAGGCUGCAACUCGCCUGUAUGAAGUCGGAAUUGCUAGUAAUCGCGAAUCAGCAUGUCGCGGUGAAUACGUUCCCGGGUCUUGCACACACCGCCCGU
rnacentral:rRNA from 1 species